rnacentral:rRNA from 1 species
CGCGGCCUAUCAGCUUGUUGGUGAGGUAACGGCUCACCAAGGCAUCGACGGGUAGCUGGUCUGAGAGGACGGUCAGCCACACUGGGACUGAGACACGGUCCAGACUCCUACGGGAGGCAGCAGUGGGGAAUCUUGCGCAAUGGGCGAAAGCCUGACGCAGCCACGCCGCGUGAGGGAUGAAGGCUUUCGGGUUGUAAACCUCUUUCAGCAGGGACGAAAAUGACGGUACCUGCAGAAGAAGCUCCGGCCAACUACGUGCCAGCAGCCGCGGUAACACGUAGGGAGCAAGCGUUGUCCGGAUUUAUUGGGCGUAAAGAGCUCGUAGGCGGUUCAGUAAGUCAGGUGUGAAAGUCCAAGGCUCAACCUUGGAACGCCACUUGAUACUGCUGUGACUGGAGUCCGGUAGAGGAGUGUGGAAUUCCUGGUGUAGCGGUGAAAUGCGCAGAUAUCAGGAGGAACACCGACGGCGAAGGCAGCACUCUGGGCCGGUACUGACGCUGAGGAGCGAAAGCAUGGGGAGCGAACAGGAUUAGAUACCCUGGUAGUCCAUGCCGUAAACGUUGGGCACUAGGUGUGGGGCCUUAUCAACGGGUUCCGUGCCGUAGCUAACGCAUUAAGUGCCCCGCCUGGGGAGUACGG